rnacentral:misc_RNA from 1 species
UAUUGUCACAUAUAUCA